GAUGGAAGCUGGCGGCGUGCCUAACACAUGCAAGUCGAACGGAGAAUUUACGCUGAUGAAGCUUCGGCAGAUUCUUGUAAAUUCUUAGUGGCGGACGGGUGAGUAACGCGUGGGCAACCUGCCUCAUACUGGGGGAUAACAGCUGGAAACGACUGUUAAUACCGCAUAAGCGCACGGUAUCGCAUGAUACAGUGUGAAAAACUCCGGUGGUAUGAGAUGGGCCCGCGUCAGAUUAGCCAGUUGGCAGGGUAACGGCCUACCAAAGCGACGAUCUGUAGCCGGCCUGAGAGGGCGGACGGCCACAUUGGGACUGAGACACGGCCCAAACUCCUACGGGAGGCAGCAGUGGGGGAUAUUGCACAAUGGAGGAAACUCUGAUGCAGCGACGCCGCGUGAGUGAAGAAGUAUUUCGGUAUGUAAAGCUUCUAUCAGCAGGGAAGAAAGAACUCGUAAGAGAGAUGACGG
rnacentral:rRNA from 1 species